rnacentral:lncRNA from 1 species
GGAAGUUUAUGAGCCUCAGGGAGACUUGUCCUAGCAAUUCUUAGGCAGUUUUUGAGUUCUCUGUAACGAAGACAGGAGAUACUGAGCAUAGAUGCAAGCUUCCAGAGGCUCUGUGAUCUCUGACUGAUAGACGGUGGAAAAACAUCAGUCCAGAUUGUAUUAUAGUGUGACAUUCCUAGAUGUAUAAUUAGUUCACUUCUUUCAAGACCUCCAGUGAUUUUUCAGGUGU